UACGGAGGGAGCUAGCGUUGUUCGGAAUUACUGGGCGUAAAGCGCGCGUAGGCGGCUUUGUAAGUUAGAGGUGAAAGCCCGGAGCUCAACUCCGGAACUGCCUUUAAAACUGCAUCGCUUGAAUCCAGGAGAGGUGAGUGGAAUUCCGAGUGUAGAGGUGAAAUUCGUAGAUAUUCGGAAGAACACCAGUGGCGAAGGCGGCUCACUGGACUGGUAUUGACGCUGAGGUGCGAAAGCGUGGGUAGCGAACAGG
rnacentral:rRNA from 1 species